CCUACGGGUGGCAGCAGUGAGGAAUAUUGGUCAAUGGACGAGAGUCUGAACCAGCCAAGUAGCGUGAAGGAUGACUGCCCUAUGGGUUGUAAACUUCUUUUAUAUGGGAAUAAAACGUUCCACGUGUGGGUUUUUGUAUGUACCAUAUGAAUAAGGAUCGGCUAACUCCGUGCCAGCAGCCGCGGUAAUACGGAGGAUCCGAGCGUUAUCCGGAUUUAUUGGGUUUAAAGGGAGCGUAGAUGGGUUGUUAAGUCAGUUGUGAAAGUUUGCGGCACAACCGUAAAAUUGCAAUUGAUACUGGGAGUCUUGAACAGUUGAGGUAGGCGGAAUUCGUGGUGUAGCGGUGAAAUGCUUAGAUAUCACGAAGAACUCCGAUUGCGAAGGCAGCUUACUAAACUGCCACUGACAUUGAUGCUCGAAAGUGUGGGUAUCAAACAGGAUUAGAUACCCUAGUAGUC
rnacentral:rRNA from 1 species